rnacentral:rRNA from 1 species
UACGUAGGGGGCAAGCGUUGUCCGGAAUCAUUGGGCGUAAAGAGCGUGUAGGCGGUCCGGUAAGUCGGCUGUGAAAGUCGGGGGCUCAACCCUCGGAUGCCGGUGGAUACUGUCGGGCUUGAGUACGGAAGAGGCGAGUGGAAUUCCUGGUGUAGCGGUGAAAUGCGCAGAUAUCAGGAGGAACACCGGUGGCGAAGGCGGGUCUCUGGGCCGUAACUGACGCUGAGGAGCGAAAGCGUGGGGAGCGAACAGG